rnacentral:tRNA from 1 species
GCCGACUUAGCUCAGCUGGUAGAGCACCCGCCUUGUAAGCGGACGGUCAUCAGUUCAAAUCUGAUAGUCGGCUCCA